UAUUUUUGUUUCAACUUGACUUAAAAAAAAAAAAAAAAUAAAUAUUAAGUAUUUAUAAAAAUACCGUCAUCUUUGUUAAACUCCUUUGUGCGAGUAUUUCUUCGCAGUUUUUAAAAAACUGUUGGUUCAGUUUGUUUUUUAAAUUAGCAGAGUUACUUCUUUACCGAGCGGAACGUUGGGUUAGAACAUUUUUCCUUUUUCCCUCCAUAAUUGUGACUGUUGUAACGCUUCUUGAACCUGCAUAGUGCCUACUGCUGAAAAUACUGAAAAUAAAUAAAAAAAAGUCACUUUUAACAAUUGAAGAAGUCACUUGUCUUCAAUAUUGACAUUCAUUUUUUAACAAAAAUCAAGUUGAACAUGGCACCGAACAACUCAGAUAGAUCAGACUCAUCGGAAUUUUUUGUUGAAGUUCAUAAAGAAAUCCAGUAUCCGUCUUUA